GCCAUAAUCAAUGGCUGAAGGAGCUCUCGUGAAACCCGGGGCCCUUUGUUCACUCUACAUAUCCAUUGCCUCUGUUGUCCAAACCAAGCAAUCCUUGGCCAUUAUAGCACCCACCCACCAACUCUCCAUUCUCUUCACUCAUCCGUUGCUUUCUCUUCUCUCCAUUUGUCUUGUGUUUGUUUCUUUAUUUUCAUGAAUGAAGCUCAUGCACUUCUUGCUCUCAGGUAUUCUGUUUCUGUUGAUUAGUAGUUUGAUGAUAUCUUUUUAGUUUUGUCAAGAAAGGAAGCAGCUUUUUCCAAGCCAAAGACUUUGUGUUGUUUGUCUGGUACUGUUCUUGAAUGAAGUUCAUUCAACAUUGUUACUCUUUUGGUUCUCAGGUAUUCUUUUCUGUUUGUGUUUAUUAGUUUUGCUAAACUCUCUGGAUUUGUUAAGAAAAGGAAUCAGCUUUUUUUAAGCCAUAAACAUCAUUGUGUUGUUUGUUUGGUGGUGUUCUUGAAUGAAGUUCAUUCAACAUUUUUACUCUUUUGGUUCUCAGGUAUUCUUUUCUGUUUGUAUUUAUUAUUUUGCUAAACUCUCUGGAUUUGUUAAGAAAGGAAUCAGCUUUUUUAAGCCAUAAACAUCAUUGUGUUGUUUGUUUGGUGGUGUUCUUGAAUGAAGUUCAUUCAACGUUGUUACUCUUUUGGUUCUCAGCUCAAAGAUUUGAUCUUCAAUGAUGCAAAACUCAACUGCAUUGCCAACUUCUCAACAACAACAACAACAGCAGCAGCAGCAGCAGCAAAUCAAGUGUCCAAGGUGUGACUCUACAAACACAAAAUUCAGCUACUACAACAACUACAAUCUCUCCCAGCCCCAGGCAUUACUGCAAGUCUUGCCGCCGAUACUGGACUCUAGGCGGCGCUCUCCGUGACGUUCCCUGUCGGCGGUGGCUCCCGUAAAUCCUCCAAACGCUCCAAGCAUUCACUUAACUCAUCUCCAGAGCCUCUUGAACUGAACCUCAUUACUGCAGAUACAAUGAUUGAUCAAGAUGAGAGAAUGCUUGAUAUCAAUGAGAGUUUCACUUCUCUUCUUUCAUCUGGUGGUCAUUUUACAGAGCUUCUGGAUGGAUUUAGCUUUCCAAAUUCAAGUAGUUUGUCUGAGUUUGAUUCAAAUGUGUUUGAGCUGCAGAAUUCUUCUGACACUGCUGCUGCUGCUGGUGCUGCUGCUGGUGCUAAUGACAAGCCAUUGCAGCAUGAGAGUUUGCUGGGUUUGCAUGGCUGGUGGAUGUCUUGAUCUUUCUCUUCUUUGAUUUUCAUGUGUUUCUUUUUUCAACUUUUUUUUUGAGAGAAAAAUUAAUGUGUUCUUUCAUGAUUUACUGCUUGGUUAUCUGGCGUUUGGUUUUAUUGUUCUUUGUUCUGGUUGGUUAACUUCCUUAUUUUAAUGCUAGUUUCUUUUCUUC